UUUGUACUUCUUAUCCUUUUUUAAGAUGCAUGCAGGGAUUAUUGCUAAAUGUAAUAGUAUUAUGAGAUGCUUCCUUUGGGGGGGCUCGGAGGAAGGGAGGAAGAUAGCUUGGUUGGGAUGGUCUAAGGUUUGCAGGCCUAAAGGGGAAGGAGGUUUGGGUAUAAAGGACCUUAUGUCCUUUAAUCUUGCCCUCCUGGGGAAAUGGAGGUGGAGGAUGUUGCAAGAACAAAAUAGUUUAUGGUGCCAAAUUCUGAAUGAGAAAUACAGUGGUCCUCUCCAUCAAAAGGAUUCUCCUUGGUGGAAGGAUUUGAAUUCAGUUUGUUUUGGGGCGGAGUGUGGGCGUUGGUUUAAUGAGGCGAUUUGUAGAAGGGUUGGGGAUGGUAGGGAUAUUGCUUUUUGGGUGGAGGAUUGGACAGGGUCUGGGAGCUUCAAGAGUAUUUUCCCGAGACUCUUUCUGUUAUCAAGCCAAAAGGAUGCUUCCAUCUUGGAAAUGGGAAGGUGGGUUGGAGAUGCAUGGGUUUGGGAUUUUAAAUGGGAGAGGGUGCUGCUGGAUAGGGAAUUGCAGAGGGUUGUAGAGUUGGAAAGGAAGACCGGAGGUUUUUCCCCUAAAUUGGGUCAACGGGACAAAUGAGUUUGGGUGAAGGAUGAGUCAGGAGUGUAUAGUGUGAAGUCAGCGUAUGCUCUAAUUCAUGAUGAUUCUGUUGCAGAAGAUAGCUGGGUUUUUAACAAGCUUUGGAAAGCAAAAGCACCUUCUGGCUUGAUUGCUCUGGCUUGGAGGGUUUUGAUUGAUAGAGUGCAGACUAGAUAUGAUCUUAGCAAGAGGAAUGCUCUUCCAGUUAACGUUACUACUACUUGUGUCCUAUGCGCUUCUGAUGUGGAAAAUAGCUUUCAUCUCUUUUUUAAUUGCCAUGUCUCGUGGAGAGUUUGGUCUAAGUUGCUUGACUGGUUGGGGAUCCAAUUUGUAUUGCCAUCAUGUGUUGUAAACCAUUUCAGUCAAUUCUGUGGUGUGUUGAGGGGAGGAAAAAAGGUUUCGCAGGCUCUUAUCUUGAUCUGGAUUGCUGCUGUUCAUUCGAUUUGGCAGUGUAGAAAUGGUUUAAUUUUCAGGGGGGAUUCAGUGGAAAUAGGCAGCCUAGUGGAUCUGGUGCAAUACAAGGUUUGGUUGUGGUUAUCUUCGCAUGAAAGGAGCUUUUCCGCUUCUGUUUUUGAGUGGAUUUCGAACCCUGCAAUAUGUAUUUUUUCCUUGUACUAAGUGGCAGCAGCUGGUGAUUUUCUAUGUUGGAUUGUGGGUUUGCUUGAAGGGAAGUACUUUAAUCUUUCUAGUGACAGAUUUUCUAUGUUGGUUUGUGUGUAUGUUGAAUCAUGUUUUGCUGUGGCCGUUUGCUCUUGCUGGGAGAAUUAUUAUCUUAUUGUUUCUGUAUGGCAUUGGUUUUCAUCAGAUGAAGGUUAGUAGGUGCACUAUAUCUAUUAGUGGGAAAUAUAUAUUGAAGGGUAUUAGAUGGUUUGGUUUUGUCUUGUCUGUGAUAGCAUGUGGUGCUUCCGUCUUGGAUUUUUUGCUCCUCCACUGUUGUGCGCCUUGGCUGGGUUCAUCUGUGUGUUAGUGUGUUCUGUGACAGCAACGCAAGAGGUAUCACCACAGCUUUUCCUGUUAAGUGCCUCUUCUGUAAGGUUUGUUGUUGCAGACCAAGCUUCCUUUACAGUUUACAUUUCUGAUGGCAUCCAUUGCUUCUUGAUUUGUCAUUACCUUGAAUAAUUUAAUAUACAGAUGUAAGAAGUGCAAAAAUAUGGUCCAUAAGCUCCACUACCAUAUAUAUGGUUCUGAGCUCAAGUGUUUCUUUAGGCUCAAGUGUGGUUUUGAGCUCAGUUUCAACAUAUGCUCUCUUCACUACAUCUCCAAGUUCAGUCCAAGAGUCAUGCUACAUUAUGAAAAAAGAAAGAUGAAAACUCAACAAACACCGGCAAUUUAUCCACCCAUGUUAGCUUCGGGACUAUUUAAGCAAGGUACUAAUAGCUCUACCCAUAUUUGUUGUUAUUAUAGUUUCAGUUUUCUAAUUGCCAUUUUCAAAUUUUGGAAAGUAUGAAAAAGUAUAAGUUGAAAUUGUCUAACACUGUUCUGUCAUCUUCUAUGUCUCUGUAGCAUUUUGAUUAACUACAAUUGAAUCACUUUUGCUGGUCCGGGGUUGACCAAGUUCAAGUCAUGGCUAUUUGGGCUUACGGUUUAUUUGGUGUUGAACUAUUCUCAUUGUAGUGUGGUUCUAAAUAUGUCUCAGAUUUUUUUAUAAUGGCAAAGCUGUGAAGUUCUAAAUAUCUUUCUCUAUUAAUUAUAUUCCCUUUCAGCUAUAUUUAAAGACUUGAUAGUAUCAUUUUCAUUUUUAUCUUAUUCUAGGAAACCCAGUCGAGAAAGUGACUUUGAAUCUGCUACAGAGACAAGUCAGCAGUCGCCAUUGUCAUGAAAGAAAAGAAAAGGGAUGCUUCUAAGGUAACAUGAACUUGCCACUUCAUUCAAGUACAGUUGUUUAUAUUGGCUUAUGAUGUGCUAUUAUUGGUUCUCCAUUUAAAUAGACUCAAACUUUCAAUCAAAUAGAGGUACUUAAACUUUCAAUCAAGAAUGGGAAGAACAUGUGAAUUUCGCCUCUGCAUUGGCUAGCAAUUCAUUCCAAGAAUAGCUUCCUUCAACUACUCUCAGAACCGAGGGAAGUGGAACUAUUAUGCUCAAAACUACCAGCAAUCCAAUAGCACUUUCUCAUGAUGGUGCAAAUACUAAAGCACUUUCUCAUGAUGGUGCAAAUACUAAAGGGUUCUAAGUUUGAUAGCAUUUCUUUGCUUUUUUCUGUCCCUCUUUUCUUUUUAAGUUGGGAGCUAGGUCUAUGUAAAUCACAUUCCUUUUUCAUUGCAAAUGAAUUGCACCUGAUGCAGAUUUCAGUUUGGAUUUCUAUUUGUUAGUUAGCUUAUGAAGGAAAUAUUCUUUGUCA